rnacentral:lncRNA from 1 species
UCAUAAUAGAUAAUCAUUUGACUUCAAUUAGAUGAAUUAUAAAGAAACAUUACUUGACCUCGGUUGGGUCAACCAUAAAGCCGAUGUGCCUUGACUUAAUAAAUGAACUUGUCAUUGAAAUGAUCUGAUCUUUAAUAAUCAGAUCACUUGAUUGGAAGAAAACCAUUCUUAAUAAUGGAAAUAUCUAUAGUAGAGGUUUAAGAAUUACCUCUUGAAUUGGAAUGGUAGAUCGGAUUUCUUGUAUGUAGAAUUUCCACCCAUGAUAUGUUUCCCUUUCAAGGAAACAUUAUUGUAGGAUACAACCUUAGUCAUAAGUUCCUUCGGUCCAAAGUUCAUUCCAUAGAUCCAAAUAUUUUAUGUCGGAUCCUUAUAGAAUUGAACCUAAAAAGUAUUUUUCAAUAAAUAUUCACAAAGUCUGAUUUGAAAAUUGGGUGUCCCAUGUCAAAUCAUUUGUGAGAUCCAAUUUGGAGAUCGGAUGUAUCACUUAACUCAUUUGUUAGAUCCAAUCCAGAGAUCGGAUGUCUCACUUAAUUAUUUGUGAGAUCUAAUCCAGAGAUCGGAUGUCUCACUUAAUCAUUUGUGAGGUCCAAUCUGA